rnacentral:tRNA from 1 species
GCCGAGGUGGCGGAAAGGCUUACGCGGUGGUCUCAAAAACCACUGUCCUCACGGACAUGAGGGUUCAAAUCCCUCCCUCGGCA